AUUGAACGCUGGCGGCAGGCCUAACACAUGCAAGUCGCACGAGUGGCGGACGGGUGAGUAAUUUCUGGGAAACUGCCUGAUGGAGGGGGAUAACUACUGGAAACGGUAGCUAAUACCUCAUACCAUCAGAUGUGCCCAGAUGGGAUUAGCUAGUUGGUGGGGUAACGGCUCACCAAGGCGACGAUCCCUAGCUGGUCUGUGAGGAUGACCAGCCACACUGAAACUGAGACACGGUCCAGAGUCCUACGGGAGGCAGCAGUGGGGAAUAGUGCACAAUGGGCGCAAGCCUGAUGCAGCGAUGCCGCGUGUAUGAAGAAGGCCUGCGGGUUGUAAAGUACUUUCAGCGGGGAGGCGUUACCCGAAGAAGAAGCAACGGCUAACUCCGUGCCAGCAGCCGCGGUAAUUC
rnacentral:rRNA from 1 species